AACACAUCUCCUUCACAUAGAGUUGAUCAGGUUGUUGAUUGUGGCCUGUGGAAUGUUGAUCCACUCCUCUUCAAUGGCUGUGUGAAGUUGCUGGAUAUUGCCAGGACCUGGGACACGCUGCCGUAUACGCUGAUCCAGAGCAUCCCAAACAUGCUCAAUGGGUGACAUGUCCGGUGAGUAUGCUGGCCAUGCAAGAACUGGGAUGUUUUCAGCUUCCAGGAAUUG